rnacentral:misc_RNA from 1 species
UUUGAUGGCAGUAGUUGGGCCCAGCCGGCACUCCCGGGUGUCCAUGAGCGUGUCUAUGUCGCUGAUGCAGGGGGGCGGGGCGGGGACGACAGGUGGAGGCGGGACGACGGGGCCCGGGGCCCACCCGGGCCAGGCGGUCCUCGCGGCCGCCGCUGCCGCCGCCGCCGCGGCGGUGAACCAACCGACCCCCACCUAUUAUCACCCCGCCGCACCCGCGCCACCCCCACCGCCGCCGCCCGCGCAGGAUCCCGUCCAACCCGACAGACCCAUCGGCUACGGCGCCUUCGGUGUCGUCUGGGCUGUCACGGAUCCCAGGGACGGUAGGAGAGUGGCCUUAAAGAAACUGCCGAACGUCUUUCAAAGCCUCGUCAGCAGCAAGCGCGUUUUCAGAGAGCUGAAGAUGCUCUGUUUCUUCAAACACGAAAACGUUCUCUCAGCCCUGGAUAUCUUACAACCACCGCAUCUCGACUUCUUCCAAGAAAUAUAUGUGAUCACGGAGCUACUCCAAAGCGAUCUUCAUAAGAUCAUCGUCAGCCCACAGCACCUCAGCCCAGAUCACAUCAAGGUCUUCCUUUAUCAGAUCCUUCGAGGUCUGAAGUACCUUCACUCAGCCAGAAUUCUGCAUAGAGAUAUCAAGCCAGGGAAUCUUUUAGUAAACAGCAAUUGCGUUUUAAAAAUCUGUGAUUUUGGAUUGGCCCGCGUGGAAGAGCCCGACCAGAACAAGCACAUGACUCAGGAAGUGGUGACGCAGUAUUAUCGUGCCCCGGAAAUUUUGAUGGGUGCACGACACUACACCGCAGCCGUCGAUGUUUGGAGCGUCGGUUGCAUUUUCGGCGAGCUUCUUCGUCGACGAAUUCUCUUUCAAGCUCAGAGUCCUGUGCAACAGUUGGAAUUGAUCACAGAACUGCUAGGCACCCCAACCCUCGAGGACAUGAGGUACGCUUGCGAGGGUGCAAGGACUCACAUGCUGAGGCGUGCACCGAAACCACCCUCGUUGACGGCUCUCUAUACCCUCAGCAGCCAGGCGACGCACGAGGCCGUCCAUUUGCUCUGCCAGAUGCUAGUCUUCGAUCCUGACAAGAGGAUCACCGUGGUGGAUGCCCUUGCGCAUCCUUAUCUGGACGAGGGAAGACUUAGAUAUCACUCGUGCAUGUGCACGUGUUGCUACACAACGAGUGCUGGGAUGAGACAGUACACUGGGGAUUUCGAGCCAGCUACGACUCAUUCUUUCGACGAUCUCUGGGAGCGGAAAUUGACGAGCGUGCAGCAGGUGAAAGAGGAAAUGCACAAAUUUAUAGCGGAGCAGCUGAACACAUCGCGCGUGCCGCUCUGCAUAAAUCCGCAGUCCGCGGCAUUCAAGAGCUUCGCAAGCGCAAGAGUUAAAAGUGAAGAAAAAAAUGGAAAAGAGAAAGAAGCGAGGAUAAAAAGGAGGAGAAAUUAAAAAAGAAGAUGGAAGAGAAGUGAACACUUUCUGGUGGUGGGGUGGGACGGCAAGAAUAAAAACUCGACGGUGGCCCAUCCUUCGGAACUGCCACCCUCUCCUCACCAAUGGGAAUAAAUCUUCUCCGUGGAAUAAGAAAGACAUACAAAAUAAGAAAAACACUAACAAAGAAUAAAUGAAAA